CUGUUCAGACCUGCCAGGGACAGGAUCACAGCUUCUGUUAGUGACUCAGGUCAGCCCUUCUCACAAAUUAAGAAGGCUGAAGGAACAGCAAGUACCUCAUGUUAGCCUUCGUCACACCCUGAGUCCAUGAGUCAUGCUGAUCACAUCAUCUGUCACCCUAGAGGCUAACAUAUAUACAUCUCUCGGAAAUCUCAAGGGAGUCUACUGACACACUUGCUCACAAAGUUUUUCAAGAUUACACAAGAUUGUGUUGGUAUGGGGUAAGGGCCCGGAAGAUUUUCCUGAAGCCGUACAGGGUCAGGUGAUGCCCAGGUGUUUCCUGUCACCUCAACAGUAACAAUGCCAGCGGAGAAGAAGGCAUCCGCCCUCCCAGCCAUAUCCUUCACCAUCACUGAGAGCUUGUAACGACCACACAUCUCUGGGUCCAGAGUAGAGGCUCCUGGUGGUGACAGAGGCAUAAAUUAUACAAGAAAGCCUACAAGACUUUCUACAAGACAGCACUUUAUUGGACCAUAUGUGUUACUUUCCAGAGUGCAAAAAGGCAAAAGUCCUGACAGCUAAACAAGCAAACACACCAUAAUAACAGAAAGACACUGCAAUA